UACGUAGGAGACGAGCGUUGUCCGGAGUUACUGGGCGUAAAGGGUGCGCAGGCGGCCCUGCGCGUCGCGAGUGAAAUCUCCCGGCUCAACUGGGAGGGUGCGUCGAAUACUGAGAGGCUAGAGUGUGGGAGAGGAAAGUGGAAUUCCUGGUGUAGCGGUGAAAUGCGUAGAUAUCAGGAGGAACACCGGUGGUGUAAACGGCUUUCUGGACCAUAACUGACGCUGAGGCACGAAAGCGUGGGUAGCAAACAGG
rnacentral:rRNA from 1 species